rnacentral:rRNA from 1 species
GACGAACGCUGGCGGCGUGCUUAACACAUGCAAGUCGAACGGAAAGGCCCUGCUUUUGUGGGGUGCUCGAGUGGCGAACGGGUGAGUAACACGUGAGUAACCUGCCCUUGACUUUGGGAUAACUUCAGGAAACUGGGGCUAAUACCGGAUAGGAGCUCCUGCUGCAUGGUGGGGGUUGGAAAGUUUCGGCGGUUGGGGAUGGACUCGCGGCUUAUCAGCUUGUUGGUGGGGUAGUGGCUUACCAAGGCUUUGACGGGUAGCCGGCCUGAGAGGGUGACCGGCCACAUUGGGACUGCGAUACGGCCCAGACUCCUACGGGAGGCAGCAGUGGGGAAUAUUGCACAAUGGGCGGAAGCCUGAUGCAGCAACGCCGCGUGCGGGAUGACGGCCUUCGGGUUGUAAACCGCUUUCGCCUGUGACGAAGCGUGAGUGACGGUACUGGGUAAAGAAGCACCGGCUAACUACGUG